AUUGAACGCUGGCGGCAGGCCUAACACAUGCAAGUCGAACGGUAACAGGAAACAGCUUGCUGCUUUGCUGACGAGUGGCGGACGGGUGAGUAAUGUCUGGGAAACUGCCUGAUGGAGGGGGAUAACUACUGGAAACGGUAGCUAAUACCGCAUAACGUCGCAAGACCAAAGAGGGGGACCUUCGGGCCUCUUGCCAUCGGAUGUGCCCAGAUGGGAUUAGCUAGUAGGUGGGGUAACGGCUCACCUAGGCGACGAUCCCUAGCUGGUCUGAGAGGAUGACCAGCCACACUGGAACUGAGACACGGUCCAGACUCCUACGGGAGGCAGCAGUGGGGAAUAUUGCACAAUGGGCGCAAGCCUGAUGCAGCCAUGCCGCGUGUAUGAAGAAGGCCUUCGGGUUGUAAAGUACUUUCAGCGGGGAGGAAGGCGAUAAGGUUAAUAACCUUGUCGAUUGACGUUACCCGCAGAAGAAGCACCCGCUAACUCC
rnacentral:rRNA from 1 species